AUUGAACGCUGGCGGCAUGCCUUACACAUGCAAGUCGAACGGCAGCGGACCUUCGGGUGCCGGCGAGUGGCGAACGGGUGAGUAAUGUAUCGGAACGUACCUUUCAGUGGGGGAUAACGUAGCGAAAGUUACGCUAAUACCGCAUACGACCUGAGGGUGAAAGCAGGGGAUCGCAAGACCUUGCGUUAUACGAGCGGCCGAUGUCAGAUUAGCUAGUUGGUGAGGUAAAGGCUCACCAAGGCGACGAUCUGUAGCGGGUCUGAGAGGAUGAUCCGCCACACUGGGACUGAGACACGGCCCAGACUCCUACGGGAGGCAGCAGUGGGGAAUUUUGGACAAUGGGGGCAACCCUGAUCCAGCCAUGCCGCGUGAGUGAAGAAGGCCUUCGGGUAGUAAAGCUCUUUCGGCCGGGAAGAAAUCGCACAGGCUAAUACUCUGUGUGGAUGACGGUACCGGCAUAAGAAGCACCGGCUAACUACGUGCCAGCAGCCGCAGUAACAC
rnacentral:rRNA from 1 species